AAACCUUUGAAAGUCCAGAUACUUUCUAGCACAUGAAGAAGUGUUUAAGUGAUAGGAUACAUGAAAUCUGUCUACUCUUCCUUCAAAACCAAGAACGUGAACUAUAAAUGCAGUCCUAUGUAAGAGAAAUACAUUUGUGAAAGCAAGCUUUAUUAAUACUUAAGCAAUGUGUGUGUGCCACUUUGAGGUAGUCAUGUGAAUUUACCUGCCUUUCUAGCAAUAAUGAAGAGGAGCUAUAGCUGUACUGUUUUAAGUACUGAUUAAAAAAAACUCCAUACUGUUCACUUGGGCAACUGAAAGCCAGGCUUGAAAUGUAUUAUUAAAUAUUGACUUUUCAGAGCCUCCGUCAAUCUUUUAAGUCAUUAAGGAUUUUUAUCAUAUAAGCUUGGGUAACUUUGCACUCUUAAUGCAUCAACAAUAUUGCCUUUUACUAGUAGUUAAAAAAUUCUAAUAAUCCUAUUCAUUAAAAAAGUUAUCUUUUUAUUUAUUUUUAUAUCUUCAGAGGAUUGAGGGAACACUAGGAAUAAUGGAGCUAUUCGAAUGGAAGAUAACUUGCACUUUUGAUGAAGGUAUUUUCUUGCUUAUCUCAUAUGAAAUGAGUGUUUUUUUUAACAACAUAAACAGCCAACGUUUGUUCUUAUGGCUUCAGGUAAGAUAUCUUGUGGGGUUUUUUUGCUAAUAAGAGGUGGGACUGGCAUUCAUUUCUUGCUCCUAACUAAUGAAGUAUUUAUCUGUUUAGCAAACUGAGACCUCAUUAUAUUGGAGGAGAGAUCACAUGUGCUUGAUGCAGUGUUUUCCUUAGGACCCAUUACUGGAUAACAUUAGGGACAGGAUGCAGUGCUGGAAGAGCUUUUGGCCCUGGCCAGUACAGCCCUUUUUAUGUUCUUGUUACCUGACACAUCUGAGGUUUCCUGCCCACUUAACCCUGCAAGGCAAGCUUUCAUGGUUGGUCUCCUACUACACCCUGGGAUCCAUCUGGGAGGGUUGGGAUCAGACACCUUCUGUGGUCACUUCCUGCCCAUUUCUGCAAGAGCAGAUGCAGCUGUUUUCAGUCCUUCAUGUUAUUUGCUGAUGUUCUAUCAUCAAGUGAAAAACAUUCCCAGUAAGGUGCUUGGGUAGGGAAAGAAUAGGAAGUAGUUAAAUUGAGAAACUUCCUUGGCCAGUUGUGCUUUGCAGUGCUUCUCAGUAGAAGACGUUUGUUGUCUUUCUCCUGUCUAAACCAAGGUUGAAAUUAAAUUUGAAUGUCCUCUAGCCAUGCAACACUGGGAAUGAAUCCUAUGAAACAGCCUAUAUGAGGCCUGUACAAAUGGUAUACCUGCUUAGUCUGAAUGAGGUUUGACUUCAUUAUGUUAGUACAGAAUAAUUAGUAGAAAACCAAAAUGCGAUUUUCCUAAAGAAUGGCAGUUCUGGGGCUUUACCUCACUUAUAGCCUUGCAAGGCUUUUAGUGUCCUGACAAGCAAUCUAUCAGAGCAGGAAUGUUGAGUGCGUUCAUUUUUUACUUCAGUUCUUUUCUUACAGGAGCUCAAGUGACUCCACUGAAACUCUGGCAUUAAUCACAGACAAAAUUAGGUCAGAAGAGAGCACAGAGGUACUGAAAUGGAAAGAGAUAAAUUCGUCCUUAGAAUAAAAUAAAAGUCUCAAGCUGCAAACUUGGGUUUCAUUUGUCUCCUCCACAUAAGACGGAUCUAGCAACGCAGUCUGGGCUCCGUGCCAAAGGCUGGUAUUUCACAGCAGCGACCGCCUUACAGAUGAGCUGUGGGAAGCAGGAGGGAGACUCUCUUAGGGUGCCACUACUAUGGAGACACAGCUGGGCUGAACAAGAUUUGCUUCAAACGACAACAAGAGAGACAGAAAGUGUCUGGUUCGACCGCUGCCCAAGCAGGCAGUAACCAGAAGAGCUAGCAGCCAAUCCGGCCAUGCUGCACUGUUCGAAACCAGCUCUACAUCCCAGCCAAUCAGUGACAUCACUGAAGAUUCUUGAUUAUGGGGAACGCAGGGCCUUCCCAAGGCACUGGCCGCUAGAGGAUGCUCCUGGUCAGGCGUUGGAAAGCAGCGUGCCCGGGGCCGGGAAUCCUCCUCCCCGACACAGACCUCAGCCCAGCCCCCCGAAGAUGAGAUCGCCCAGCAGGAGUUACCCGCAUAGCCUGCGAUAUAUAAAAUGCUACUCUGUGCUGGGAAGAGUCGGGGUGUUUUCCAUCGUCUAAAUGGAAAAGAAAUUCCAUUCAGUUCACAGGCAAAACCACAAAAUACUAAUGACAGUAAGAGAAAGACACUGUAGGAAUUGGAAUGG